AACACCCCUUACACAGGUCUCUCUCACCCUUACAUCGGUCCCUCCCACCCUUACAGUGGUCCCUCUCACCCCUCCUCACCCUCAUGUUCUCAUUGCAAAUACAAAGUGUGCAAGGACAGGUAGGAUAAACUCCUUGAAAAAUUAGAGGCUAUAUCUAAAGCUGUUGAGGAAUUGAAAUCCAAAAGGGGUGUCAUACCAUUCAAGAAGGUGAGAGAGCCAUACACUUCUACAGUGACGAUUAGAAGGAAGAAAAGAAAAAGUGCUCAAAUACUUUCCAGUCUGAAAAUAAAAAGAUUGCAACUCACCCCUCUCCAAAAGUUGUUGAAAUUCCGAGGCCACUAAAGAAGGUAGACAUAUAAGCAACACUUGGCAACCAAGAGAUGACGGAACUGCGAAAUGCCAAGUAUCCCA
rnacentral:lncRNA from 1 species